AAUGUUUAUGGAGACAAAACUCACAUAACAUGAAACUCACUGUCCAUUUUAAAGUGUGAAUUCAGUAGGUUUGAGUAUUUUCACAAUUUUGCAAGCUGCCACCACCCACGAAUUUUUAGGACUGCUUACGAGGCUCGGGUUUGCAUGUUUGCUCUUACAGUCGUUCCAGGCAAGGACCUCGGGUACCUGAAACACUGCCCCAGGCACAACUGACCAGCCCCCAGAACCCUUCCCUAGCAGAGGGUGUGGGGAGGUCUGGCCGCGUCGGGUCUCGGCUGCCCUCAGCCCAGGGGAGCCAUUUCAGGGAGGUCUGUGAGCUCUCUGAGACUUGGUUUUCUAUCAGUUAGGUACACUCAUCCAUUUGUUCAUUUGGCAGAUUAGCCCCGGAUUUGUGCUGAGCCCUGUUCUAGAAGUAAGGGAUAUGAGACCGUGAGCUUCACAGUGGGGCUUCAGCUCCCAGCAUGAUGCACAGUAGGUACUUUCUGUGUCUGUGAGACAAACACAGUUGACAGAAGGAGCCAGGCAAGGGACACUCUGGAGACAGGGUGCCCCAGGCAUCCGUUCCAAAAGAGUCCUUCACCAGUGGCAAGGGGAAGACAGCGUGGCUUUGAGUGGCUUCUUACUAAGCAGCAGUGCAAGCUCUCCCAGCAGCCUCCCAAGUGGAAUCCUCCCUCCCCUCACUGUGCCCUUCCCCGUGGCUCAUCCAGUUCUCAGCCCAGAUUCUUGCACAUUUGGAAAUUCUGGUAAGGCCUUAUCACUGGUGCAUUUGGACCUGAUCAUUAAUAACAAAAUGUUGGUUAAAGCUGAGAAUAAAAAAUUGCUGUUUGCUACUUUAAACCAUUUUUAUUUAAAUACAUAAAAGAAUAUUAAUUCAUUUGCCAUUUGUAACAGAGGAUCUUUCAACUUUCAUUUCACCCAUUUUCUCUCCAGGGAGGUUGGAAAACUAAAAAGACCUAGAUUUCCCAGUCUCUUUUAUAGCUAGGGCUUGAUGGAAAUUAGGCUUCACCAAUUAAGCAGAGGACAGAGGGUUCAGGCAGGCGCGUGGGCUGGCAGUGAGUGGGCAUAGUUUCAUCAUGUGGAACAGGUCACAGGGGUCAGGAGCAGUCCCCUGACAGCGAGG
rnacentral:lncRNA from 1 species